GUGGUAAUCAGGGAAGUCUGUUGCAUCUGUUAAACAGUACAACCUUGAGUAUAUAUUGGAGAUGCAAGCAAUGUCAACUGAACCUCAUGGCACUUUCUCCUCCUAGUCUAAUUUGCAACAAAACGAAAUACCUGCUGUAAGUUGCAGUAGCUUCCCAACAUUGUCAACUGCUAAUGAGCCUUGACGUAAUUGACUCAAGGCUUGUCCCCUCCCUAAUGCU
rnacentral:lncRNA from 1 species